rnacentral:rRNA from 1 species
GGUGAACGCUGGCGGCGUGCUUAAGACAUGCAAGUCGAACGGCAGUCUUCGGACUGUAGUGGCGCACGGGUGAGUAACGCGUAACUGACCUACCCCAAAGUCGCGGAUAACGAUUCGAAAGAAUCGCUAAUACGUGACGUGCUGUCAGAUUGUGUUCUGCCAGUAAAGAUUGAUUGCUUUGGGAUGGGGUUGCGUUCCAUCAGCUAGUUGGUGGGGUAAAGGCCCACCAAGGCGACGACGGAUAGCCGGCCUGAGAGGGGGGCCGGCCACAGGGGAACUGAGACACGGGUCCCACUCCUACGGGAGGCAGCAGUUAGGAAUCUUCCACAAUGGGCGAAAGCCUGAUAGAGCGACGCCGCGUGAGGGAUGAAGGUCUUCGGAUCGUAAACCUCUGAAUCAGGGACGAAAGACACUUCGACGUGUUCGGAGCUUGAGGGUACCAUUAGAAUAAGCACCGGCUAACUCCGUGCCAGCCGCCGCCGUAAGAC